AUGCUUGAACAUCUUGUUGACGAUGCAUUGAUAGAUAAUUCUUAUAUUUUUCAACCUAAAAGAUAUCAGUUUAUAAUAAUAUAGACCUUUAUCAAUGAUAAAUAUAGUCUUCUCCUCAUAUUCAGUCAUUAUUCAGAUUUGAUUGUAUCCUAAAAAGACAUCCAUGAAACUCAUUAGCUCAUAACCCAAGGUGGCAUCUAUGAGCUGAUCAAUCCUAAAGCUAUCCUUCGAGCAUAUCUUGCUCAAAUUGGUGUAGUC
rnacentral:lncRNA from 1 species